rnacentral:rRNA from 1 species
UGGGGAAUAUUGGACAAUGGGGGCAACCCUGAUCCAGCAAUGCCGCGUGUGUGAAGAAGGCCUUAGGGUUGUAAAGCACUUUCAGUUGGGAGGAAGGGUGAUACGUUAAUAGCGUAUUACAUUGACGUUACCGACAGAAGAAGCACCGGCUAACUCUGUGCCAGCAGCCGCGGUAAUACAGAGGGUGCGAGCGUUAAUCGGAAUUACUGGGCGUAAAGGGUGCGUAGGUUGUUAUAUAAGUUAGAUGUGAAAUCCCUGGGCUUAACCUAGGAACUGCGUUUAAUACUGUAUAACUAGAGUGCUGUAGAGGGUAGUGGAAUUUCCAGUGUAGCGGUGAAAUGCGUAGAUAU